GACGAACGCUGGCGGCGUGCUUAACACAUGCAAGUCGAACGAGAGCGUAGAGAAAGCUUGCUUUUUCUACAAUCUAGUGGCAAACGGGUGAGUAACGCGUAAACAACCUGCCCUACGGAUGGGGACAACAGCUGGAAACGGCUGCUAAUACCGAAUACGUUCCGAAAGUCGCAUGACUAUCGGAAGAAAGGAUGGCCCCUAUUUAUAAGCUAUCGCCGGAGGAGGGGUUUGCGUCUGAUUAGCUAGUUGGAGGGGUAACGGCCCACCAAGGCGACGAUCAGUAGCCGGUCUGAGAGGAUGAACGGCCACAUUGGAACUGAGACACGGUCCAGACUCCUACGGGAGGCAGCAGUGGGGAAUCUUCCGCAAUGGGCGAAAGCCUGACGGAGCAACGCCGCGUGAGUGAAGACGGCCUUCGGGUUGUAAAGCUCUGUUAUACGGGACGAAUAAUCUUGUGGUUAAUACCCAUGAGAAGUGACGGUACCGUAAGAGAAAGCCACGGCUAACUACGUG
rnacentral:rRNA from 1 species